rnacentral:misc_RNA from 1 species
UCGAGACUACCACGCCUGAUGCUGGCCGCAAGGCAUGUGCUCGGCGUCUCGUCCACACCUCUGUGCACCUUCGAGGGGGCGUCAGCCGCCUCGCUUCAUACACCCAAUAAAGUCUAGUCGAAUGUAUAACUUAACAAAUA